AUUUUCUCUGUCUAGAGUUUCAGAGAUGAGUAAAGAAAACAGAAAUGGAAGAAAAAAGCUACCCCAAAAGAACAAAGGUACCUUCCAUGAAAAUCUACUGGAUACAAGCAAUUGAUCUGCGUUCUGCCUGAGGCCCACAAGUACUCAAAGACUUCAGAAGGAGACUGGUUAACCAUCUUAGUGAAAAAGAGCAGAGCCACAGGUAAGGCAGCUGAAGUUUGAAGAAGUUAAAUAACUUAUCAAAAGUUUGGACAGAACCUACAAUCAAAACCACGUCCUUUUGAUGCCGAAGUUCAUUUUCUUCCAUGCUACACAGUCUUACAUCAAGACAGCGUGUUGGCUGAUAUCAGACAGAGAAGACUAAAAUCCACAAGGGGAAAUUUAUGGAGGUUUCUGUACAAAAAAAAGAAGAGGAAGAGCAAGGAGGAAAAGGAGGAGAACAGAAAAGAGAGGAAGGAGGAGUAGAAGGAGAGAAAUGACCAUUCUACCUAAAUAAACAACUCUAUCUAAAUCAUGCAUCAGCAGGAGGAUAUUUAUGGCCUCAGCACAUUUCUUUUACUGCAUGCUAGAGACACUUGGCUUUUCCCUCGCAAAUUCAAAUGUCAGUGGAAUGGCUAACUCAUGUGAACAGGCUUUUUUCCCAGGGAGGAGCCAGCCACACAAUAAAAUUUAAAUGGAAAAAAAGCUUCCUGAUGUUUCUCUGCGGUACUUUGAAUCAUGCCAACUGCUAGACCAGAUUAAUUACACAAUUGUAAGAGCAGGAAAUAAACUAAUUGAGGAUAUUAUCCUCCUCUUUCUUUUCGAGAAAUACUGUUUUGUCUUGAUAUGAGUCCUCUCUUUCACCUUGACUUGUUUUGUUAACUCAACCACUUCUCAAACUUUUCAAGAGGGG
rnacentral:lncRNA from 1 species